UGCGUCCCCUUUGGCUUGAUAAUGCUUCUUCGAUUAUUUUUGCAAAUUUAAUACCAAGCACUAAAAACAAAUUAGAAACAGUCAUACAGAUGCCUCUUUAGCUUCUAUUCUAAAUCUAAAGAAUAUUAUUUUAAGAACUUUGAGUUGGUCUUCCUUUGUUUAGUUUUGCGAUGAACAUGUAGCGGAAUCAAAAAAUUUUAUGAGAGCGGUUGUAGCUUGAUGGGUAGAUUUCGCUGUCGAGGAGUUAGUGAUGCAUAAAAGAAGAUAUUCAGACGACAGAAAUCCCAAUUUCAUGGUCAGAGAAAAUGGAGACACUCAAAUUCACGGUAGUACGCUCAAACCCUAAUUGAUAUAUUUAGUUAAACCGUCUUUGUAUGCAUAGUUAGGAGUAACGUAGUUUUAAUAUUCAUAUGUUUGUUAAAUUGUUCCAUUUUACUAGCAUCUAAGCUCUAUAGAAUGUUUUUGAUUUUCUUUAACUGAGGUUGUUCAUAUUUUUUAGUUUCUCUCGGGUUGAAGUCAGAGACUGUUUCUUAACAAUUCGACAGGAAGAGUCGGGAGGAAAAUGCGCGCACACGAUGAAGGAGGCAGAGGAAAGCUAUUAGAGAGAUGGAGAAGAAGGAAACGAUUCAUUGUUGGAUCCGGAUAUGCUUGCCGCAGAUGAUGGCGUCAUUAAGAGCUUGAUGGGAUAAAGAGGAGAUUGAAAGAGAUGGAGGAAGAAGCUGAUGCGCUGCGCGAUAUGCAAGCCAAAGCCCAAAAAUAAAUGGAAGCUAUUCAAGGUAGGAUUGAAAAGCUUAUCAUGAUGGUGUUGAAUUCUUGUCGCUUCGCUCUGUUUCAGGUCGGACCUUCUUGAUCUUCUCCAUCAAGCUCCAGGCAACUAAUUGCAGAUUUCUGUGCAUAGUCUCUGUCUUUUUGCUUCCUUUGAUGAUUUUUGACUUAUCACACAAAGGUAGGU